GAGAAGUAUCUAGGUUCCUUUUUUUUUUUUUUUUUUUUUUCCUUUGCUUUUUGAGACUGGGUCUUUCAGUGUAGCCUUGGAUGACCUAAAACUCACUAUAUAGACCUGGCUGGCUUAAAACUGAAGAUGCCCCUGCCUCUGCUUUCCAACACUCUUCUGCCUUUGCUUAUUAGUGAUUUUCAACUUUGAUUUGUUCCCUUUUGUCACCUGCACAUACGUGCAUUGGCUUCCUAGUUUCUGACACUAUGAAAUGCUUCCACGCGAGUGUUUGGAACUACAGCAGAUGGCAGAGCUCUUACCCGAUCCUCACAUAGCUAGAAAUGUAAGCUAUAAACACAGGACGUAAGGUUUUCUUCUUGAGACAGGGUCUAACUGUAGUGUCCCCUGGCCCGGAACUCGACCUGUACAGCAGGUUGCCUUCUGCCUCCCAUGCGCUAGGGUUAAAGGUGUGCACCAUCUUGUCCUCAAGCUUUUCUUGGUUCAUUUAGAGGUUGACCCUUCCUUGUUCCAGUUGUUUUUUUCUAAUUCAAUUUUUUUGAGACAGGUUGUCACUGUAGCCCAGUCCGGCCUGGAAUCUAGUAUGUGUGAAUUUAGUGGUCUGUACCCUCCUGUCCCAGCCUCCCAGGCAGUGGGAUGUUCAUAGGCAUCCCUUAUCAUCUGUGAGCUUGAAGGAUGCACAUCCCAGGUUAACACUGCUAGUAGUCAAUAUCUGUAGAAUAGCAACCAGCCUGUAGUGAAUUAACUUACCUUUUGCCGGAUGUGUUGAUAAAAAAAAUUGGUUAAAGUCAGGCCUCCAGUAGUAUCUUAGUUUCACAUUCCUCUAUUUAAAGUUCAAAGGUUAAAGUUUAAUAGAACAGAUGGCAGAAUACUUUGCUCUCUGCCACCCUAUGCUUGCAAUCAUGAAAACAAUAUACUCAUUUCAUGUCGUCCUACAAUGGAAAACUCUCUCUGCACCUCCAGAAUCCUGGGAUUAAUGACAUUACUGCCGCAGCUUGCAAAGUUGUCGAGAGAGGAAAUUGAGUAAAGCUUCAGUAUUAGGAGGCCAGAGGACUAAUGCGGGCAAUUCUGAAAGAGAGAAGUCUGAAGUUAGAAACAACUCGAGUUUCAGUAUGUGUCUUCUCUCAGAAGGCCUGAGAAGGGUUGGAGACUGAGUUCAGUAUAAAGUCUGUGAGGUACUGGGUUUGCUUCUCCAGCAUCUUAAAGAGAAACAAAAAUCUAGGAGGAAAAGAUUUUGUAAAAUUACAAAUUCAGCUAUAAUAUAGAAUUUCAAACCAUCAUUAGUGUAAACCUUUGACAAGAUAUCUGCAAAAUUAAAAAAUGGGCCUGGGUAUUAGAAUAGAAUACGGCUGUUUCUCAGGCCACAGUGAGAAUGGGAGAAGGGACACUAAUUCUCCAAGGUAAUUUCUAAGUUACUAUCCUUUAUUUAAGUUAUCGAUGUUCAUAUUUUUUGAAAAUGACAUGAAUUAUUCUAGGAAAAAAGAUUUUCUUUCAUUUAUGUUUAAAAAAUGAUUUAUUUAUGUAAAUGGCUGUUCUAUCUUCCUGCAUAUCUGUGUGACAGAAGAGGGCAUCAGAUCCCAAUAUAGAUGGUUGUGAGCCACCCUGUGGUUGCUGGGAAUUGAACUCAGGACCUCUGGAAGAGCAACCAGUGUUCCUAACCACUGAGCCAUCUCUCUAGCCCCCUAGUUUAUCUUUUUAUCAUCAGAACCAAGCACAUAGGACACCCGCAUAGAUUGUUUGAGUGAGGGUGCUACUACUACUUAAGGGUGAGUUGAGGGUUUCUGCUUGUUUUGUUUUAUUGUGUUAAAUCUCUCAGUGUGUAUUCACUUGUGUGUAUACGUGUUUGUAGAAGUCUGGGUUGAUGUGAUGAGUCUUCCUUGAUUGCUUUUCUGCUUUAUCCUUCAAAUCAGGGUUUCAAUAAAACUCAGAGCUUGCCAAUAUGGCUAUAGACUACUUGCUCUGAGAAUCCAUCUCCAACAUCAGAGCUAGACUUACCGGGGAACCACUGUGCCUACCAACUGUUGCGUACGUAGGUUGUAGAAACCUAAGCUCAGGAUCCCUUGAGGGAGUGAGGAGAGGGGUCUGUUUCCUCUAGAAGCACAUGGAGCACUUAACCUAAAGGCAUAAAGCAAUAUUCUUCUGUGUUUGCACUGUGUGCAGGAUCUGUAUACAUUGAAUAAUAAAAUACUCCCUUGGGUAUUUAUCAUGAUAGAGAAAUUUUCUGCUAUAUAUUUUCAUAGAUAUAUAGAAACAUGCUACACUGAAAAAUAUUCAUCAGAAUCUAAGGCCAUACCUAGUUGAGGUUCUUUGUAGAUGUGACUGUUCACUUAUUUUUUUCCUAUUAAUAUGUCUUUGGUGGUUUUUAAAUUUAAUAGUUAUUUACUAGUUUAUUCAUUCAUAUGAUUUGAUUGAUUGAUUGAUUGAGAAAGGUUCCUUUUUAAAGUCUUUAAUGCUAGGACAUUGGACAGAGAAGAGGUUCAUUCUCUAGUAUUAUUGCCUUGAUUAUAUCCCUGACAGAAGUUUUUGAUUGUUGUUCUUGGGGUUUUUCUGGUCUUUAUUGUUGGAGAAAUCACCAGGCUUUCAUUUUUUCAUAUAUAUAUAUAUUUUACUUUUAUAGGCCAAGCUAAAAUGUAGCAAAAAUGUCCAGUUAACCCUAAAUUUCAUGUACAGCCGUCUUAUAUUAUCGGAAAGAACAAAUUUUCUUUGGAACGCCAGAUAGUGUUGCCUUCCUUUUAGCUCCUGUCACUGUUUAAGUUCUCAGUUCUGUUGAUUUAUUCAGCUUGUAACCUGGAAACCAGCUAAAAAGGAAGGAAACCAGAUGUACAUUUCUGGGCCCACUGGCGUAGCUUCCUUUUCCUCUAGCCUGGCUCAGCCUCUAGAAAAGGCCUCUUAUUCUACAGCAGAGGGCUGGGUGGGGGUUGACUAGCCCUUCACCUGUGUCUGAUUGGAGUUUCUCUCCCUUAUGAAUUUUAAAGAAUAAGAACCUAGGAGCCUUGGUUAAGCAAGCAGCUUCCUGUGUCAUCACCUCACUGUUUGCUGUGUGUUAGAAACUGGUCAGUAUUGAUUACAAGAACAAACGUAUUAAUGCAUUUUCAAAUACUUUAAAUCCCAGUUCAACAUUUCUUGUUGCCAGCCUUUUGCAUGUAUCUCUGAAUCUUUGUUGUGCAUCAAGAGUAGUCUAGCUAAGUUCUCUAGAGAUGCCUUUUGACUUUUCUUCUUCCACCUAGAUAUAGUCUAAAAUAUGUUUAAGAUGAUAGUUGGUUCCUCAGUAAUGGUGUUAGUUAUUUUGAUUUUAUCUCGGGGCACAGGAAUGGCUGACUGGCAGUUGGGCAGACUCUGUGGUUCUCAGUGCUGCUGCUUCUGUUGGGGUCUGAUAGCACUUGCAGCAUUUCAAAGUCUGUUGUAUAUAUAAUUAAACUUGAGUAUGUACUGUAUUACUACAAGAUUAGCCCUGUGAAAUAAUAGACUUGAAUUAUUAUGUAGUUUAAAUUUUAGAAAUGUAGAAUAAAAUGUACUUAGCUAUAUGAACAUUUUGUCUCUGUGUUGUUCAGGAUUUAGAAAGAGAUUGCCAUAUAUAUAUAUAUAUUCAUGAAUAUAUAUAUUCAUUCAGUGGUAGUCCUUUGUAACAUAUGUGGCCUGCUUUCCCUAUCCAUGUGUUUUCUAUGUCAUACGAAUGAGUUAUUAGGAUUGUAUAUUGUGAUCUAAUCUUUACUUGACAGCAUUAAUAUAAUACUUUAUGCUAAAGUAACAUUUUAGUACCAUCCAUCACCUGUAAAAUAAAGUAUUUUAUUUUAGUACUACCUAUGCUCUGUGAAACAAAACCAUAUUUACUCCAAUACUUAGAAUAAUCAAUGCCUAUUGUACCAUCUUUAUUCUGUGUCCAUUUUUGGUUUUAGGGAUAAGUUUUCAGUCUUGCCCAGGUUGGCCAUAACUUUAUGUCAGUCCCAGUCUCACCCUCACAGUUAACAUCCAGU
rnacentral:lncRNA from 1 species